rnacentral:snRNA from 1 species
GUACUCGCUUCGGCAGCACAUACACUAAAAUCGGAAUAAUACAGAGAAGAUUAGCAUGGCCCCUGAGCAAGGAUGACACGCAAAUUUGAGAAGUGUUCCAUAUUUUA